UACGGGGGGGAGCAAGCGUUGUUCGGAUUUACUGGGCGUAAAGGGCGCGUAGGCGGCCACCGCAAGUCGAUUGUGAAAUCUCCGGGCUUAACCUGGAAAGGUCAACCGAUACUGCGGGGCUAGAGUGCAGAAGGGGCAACUGGAAUUCUCGGUGUAGCGGUGAAAUGCGUAGAUAUCGAGAGGAACACCUGCGGCGAAGGCGGGUUGCUGGGCUGACACUGACGCUGAAGUGCGAAAGCUAGGGGAGCGAACGGG
rnacentral:rRNA from 1 species